ACAUACGACCAUAGGGUGUGGAGAACAGGGCUUCCCGUCCGCUCAGCCGUACUUAAGCCACACGCCGGGAGGUUAGUAGUUGGGUGGGUGACCACCAGCGAAUCCCUCCUGUUGUAUGUU
rfam:Aspergillus oryzae strain BCC7051 OAory_C02, whole genome shotgun sequence.